rnacentral:lncRNA from 1 species
GAGCAUGAGAAUGUCUGGAUCGCUGCAUAAGCAUCUCUUGGGGAAAAUAUGUCUAUGGUGUUGCAUACCCAGUGCUCCCUCUGCACUUCCAGGAGCCAAGCUGGACACAGGUGAUUAUGGCUUCAAACAAAAUAGGUGUGUAGGGAUUGGAGAGAAGCCCGGAAUGCAGACAGGACUGGAGGCAGGAGACACCAUAGCCCUUUCAAGCAGAGCACAGGACUCUAACCUCCCUUACACGGAAAACUGAGCUCCUAUCAAUGGGCCUGGGAUGACAAGCUAACCAGCAUUCACAGCUCACUCCUGUUUCAUGGCCACGGACGACUGAAAAAUUCCCUAUACGUACAGCAAUGUCGGCUCUCUCCCAGCAUCUACCUCUACCACCGACUGUUUCAAAUUUAAUCUUGGCAAUUUCGGUUCUUUCUUUCGGGCUAUUAAAAAUCUGUGUGCAUCUUGAUUCAACCCCUUCAUUUUUACUUAAGGGGAGUUACUGAAGGAUUUGCCAAAGG